rnacentral:piRNA from 1 species
GUCAAGAAGGAAGGCUUAACCCCCAC